UGUAAUGACGCAGGAGUUCCAGUGGUGCUAUAGUGAGUUUCUCUGGCACUCUGAAGGAUGGCUUCCUGUGGGCCAGUUCUGGCCCAUGAGCACUCUGGAGGACUUCUCAUCCACACAGCGGACACAGCCAUGAGGUCUGACUCUCGCCUUUGGGGGAACAGUGUGUACAAGUGAGAACCACAUCAGAAUGAGGUCCAGCAGCCGGGAUCCCACCCUGUUCUGCUGCUACUUUACCAGAUUCCCAUAGCCCAAAGAAGUCAGGGCUGAAAAUCAGAAGUACUUCCAGUCUUCUCCACAGUAUGACCUUGAACAAAUCCCAAAGUGAUGGUGCUCUGAAUCUCAGUUUCUGCAUCUAUAAAAUGGACUCAAAAGUUAAGUAUAAGACUUGAUGAGGUGGUGAGGGUGAAAGUUUUUUGUAACUUUGAAAGGCCUAUAUAAAUAUCAUUAAGGUGAUAAUGUAAGUUUCAUUAUUAUAGUUCCUAAAAGCCUGUUGUUUUUCCACUGGGCAUUACCACCAUGAGGCAGUAGCCUGAGACAGCCUGGGCUAUCGCAUGACAUCAAAGCAGAUCCACAAACCAGGGCAGGAGAAUGAAAAAUGCUUCCAGGAUGCCCCUUAAAAGGGUGUUCUCCAGGCAUUGCCAUGACCAAGGAACUUUCUGGAAAACACCAUCUUCAAGGCACUGGUGGCUUUUCUUCCCUACAAAAAGCAUCUUUGGCUCUGGUCUGGGUUCUCUUAAGAAACGUGUCACCCAGAGUCCCCUUUAGUCUCCUUUUUGAACCACCUGUCAAUUAGAGGGCAGGGUUGGCGAUGUCAGAGCACAAUUUACAUCUGGAGACAUAUGUAAAAUUCAGCCUAAGGAACACAUUUUGGCUUAGUGCAGAUUAACCCAGAUGGUGGGUCUCCAACAGGUGGUAUCUCCAGUGAUUUUGCCAGGGAAGCUGACCAAUUUCUUGGUCUCAAUCCUUUAAUGACAGAAGAUUCUCUCUUUCCAGUUGCCUUGUGUGAAAUCUCCUCAAACCUCCAGAUCAAAUUUGAAGGUGAAGCCUCUCUGAUACAGCGUAACUUCCAGUUUGAACAAAGUAUCCCAUCCUCUUGAAAGCAUGAUGCUUCUUUAUAACUUUAUUGUGGCGCUUUUAUUUUCUAGUCAUGUGCAGCAAGCAUCUAUGUAUGUGGCUUAUCUCCCUCACAACAUUCCUGCAGGACAGGGGACCUGCGACUCUUCUUUGCGCCAUCCACGGUGAGCUCUGCAUUGCAUCCCUCCAUGCCACGAGUGAGAUUGAGCAGGAGUUUAUAAACCAGUUUCACAUGUAUUAUCUUAUGCAAGCUUCUCUGAAACCCCCUUUUCUGUGUCCCUUGAGCACAGGGACCAUGACUGAUCAUCACAACUUUUUACCCCCAGUUACCAUUACAGGGUCUAAUAUAUAAGAGAUGUUUCAUGAUUCCUUAUUGAAUGAAUUCUAAAGGGACUAGCCUCAUUAUGGAAGUGAGAAAAGUUUAAAUGACCAUUUUAAGGCUUAAUAAAUGUUAAAGGCCAGACACAAAUCCAGGUUUUCUUUUUCCAACAGUAACACUGUUUCCAGCAGAAGAGAAUUAGUUAUUGCUAUGAUCAUUCUGAGGCUAGGAUCACAUUUUUUAGCUCCCUUAAUCCCUAGAAUACAUGGUCUUUCCCACCAUGGCUCUUAGCUUCCGUUUCUCCAGUCCAGUUCAAGCACUGGUCAUAUUUGGACACUAACCCCAAAGCCAUAACCAGAUUCUUAACAGGUAGGCCAUGGCAUUUUGUUCUGAGAAUUUGUUCACAUAUGGGCUGAAAUGUAGAUUUCUCAUCUCUCCAGGCUAGGGCCUAGGACUGCUAGGAAUCUCCAGGCAGCCAGGAGCCACCACAUCAAUGGAUCCUAGUGUGCCUUUGCAGUACUACUAAACUCCAUAUAUGUAUGUCCUGAAGAAGAACCAGGGCAAGGGGACCAGCAUGCCGACCCAACACACAGUUCACCACACACAUCUGCUCCCCUGCAUACAGCUUCUCCUAGGGAGUCUAUAUGUAGCGCUCCUGGUUGUCCCCUUCAAGGGCCCAGGCUGUAGAGUGCCCUCUCUAGCUCGCUUAGUAAAACCUCCCUCUCUACUUCCCUCCUUUCUGUUCCCCAGAGUCACUGCAUAGGAUGCCUUCUUACACUGGAGUUACAAAGCCCCACAGAGGGCUAGGGAACCUGGGUUUUGGAGUGAGACCAACCUGGGCUCAAAUUCCAGUUUUGUCAUGUACCAGCUCUGAGUCCUGGGCAAGUCAUUAAAGCAGUCCCUCUGCUCAUUGACUUGCUCCUUUAUAAAAUGAGGAUGAGCUUGAAUGAAAACAUACAUGUGAAACAUUUGGCAAAGUGCCUGGCACAAGUAAUUUUCAAUAUAUAAUUACCACUGCUGUUAUUAUAUUGUUAUCAUUGUCAUCAGUGUUGUAAUUACCCAGAUUUUCGUAUUGUCUAAAAGUCCCCAUUUAGAUGCAUCACUUGGAAAAAAUCAAACACGGAGAACGCAAUGCCAUCUACAAUCCUACAAGACAAAUUAAAAUCCAAUCAAGCCUCUAUAUUUAAGCAUCCAGGUUACAUUUAAGUUCAACAUUCCACUGAACUAAAUAUAGAAUGUGGGAAAUUCUACAGGAACAGAUGGCCCAGUUUCUUCAACAAAAUAAAUGGCAUGGGAAAAGGAGAAUGCAGGCAAAAUGUGACAGAGUUAAAGAAAACAGCUGAAACGUGUAAAACCUUGUAUGGAUCCUUUAAAUAUGCCAAUUGUAAGGACUCUUGUUGUUGGAGAAAAUCAAGGAAUUUGAAUAUAAGCCAAGUAUAAGUUGAUAUUAAAGAAUUGCUAGCUAUAAUUGUAGAAUUACAGUUACAGGCUAAAAAUGUUUAUUAUAAAUAUAUGUUUUGGGUAAAAUUAUUAUAAUGUUGGGAUGCACUUUAAAAUCUUCUGGGGGGGAUGAGAGUGCGUUGAUGAAAGAAGAUAGGCAUAGGGCCGGCCGAGUGGCUCAGUUGGUUAAGAGCUCACUCAAAAGUUUGAGCUCUGAGCAACA